rnacentral:lncRNA from 1 species
UACUUUCCAUAUUUAAACUCUCAGUCAAUGCACAGUACUAUAAAAGAUACUAACGUACUCUGCAAUGACCUUUCUGUUUCUCUGAAAUUGGGGGAUGGAGAGGGAGAAGACUUUUUGGAUGAAGAACAGGGGUUGAACUGGGAAACCUAAGAUCUAUGCUUUAAAUGAAAUUCAGUUUUACUUUUAUAAUGGCUGAAGAGAUCCAUCACUCUCACGGCACAACAUUCAAAGGAAAAGAAUCAUUUAGAUGAUUUAUUAUCUUUCCAAGUGAUAGAUGACAACUCUGAAAUCGCUUUCCUGAUUUAGGAGAUAAAGGGACACCUUCUAAAGUGAAAGCACAUUAGAGAUCCAUGUACCUUCAUGUGAAAGUUGUGCUGCAUUAACUCUGACCUGCUGCUUUGUGCAAGGCCUUCAGUUGCUUCCUGUAGAGCGCCUGCUCUGUGGCCAGUCUGCAAGGGUUUAAGCCAGCUAGAUACCACAACAGGAGAUGUCAAAUACAGUUGUCCACAGUUUUGCACAUAAUGACACUCAUUCAACCGCGGCGGAGCUUUUCAAACCCACAGCCAGGGAGGAGCAUUGUGACAACAUCCCAGUUUUGUUGUGAAAUGUGACACCCUUCUCCAUGCAUGGGGUGGGCUGCUGAACCAUCAGAGGCAGAGAGGAGAAAAAACAUGAAGGCCAGUGUGAAGGAUCAAAGGAAACUGUGGGUUUAUGUAAAAAAGCUGACAUCUGGCUGUGCAGAGGUUAACUGAACAAAUAAGAGAUUGCAGUUGGCUAAUUUGCCAUCAUCUGAUAGGAAAGCACAGAUAAGGAAAGAGGUAAGAGUUCAGCUGCAGUCAAGCAAGACACAGAUUCUGUCCCCAUAGAGCGUGGUAGGUUGGGAAGAGGCUUUCAGCCUCAAAUUAGAAUCAACAUGUCCCCCAAACCAGGAAAAGCUUCAUUCUGUGAAAUUCCAUUCACUCCUAGAUAGAAGAAUUGGUUCACAGCACUGUUUUGCAUUGGGUGGCAGUUAACUAACU